rnacentral:rRNA from 1 species
GAUGAACGCUGGCGGCGUGCCUAAUACAUGCAAGUCGAGCGAACAGACGAGGAGCUUGCUCCUCUGACGUUAGCGGCGGACGGGUGAGUAACACGUGGAUAACCUACCUAUAAGACUGGGAUAACUUCGGGAAACCGGAGCUAAUACCGGAUAAUAUAUUGAACCGCAUGGUUCAAUAGUGAAAGACGGUUUUGCUGUCACUUAUAGAUGGAUCCGCGCCGCAUUAGCUAGUUGGUAAGGUAACGGCUUACCAAGGCAACGAUGCGUAGCCGACCUGAGAGGGUGAUCGGCCACACUGGAACUGAGACACGGUCCAGACUCCUACGGGAGGCAGCAGUAGGGAAUCUUCCGCAAUGGGCGAAAGCUUUACGGAGCAACGCCGCGUGAGUGAUGAAGGUCUUCGGAUCGUAAAACUCUGUUAUUAGGUAAGAACAAAUGUGUAAGUAACUAUGCACGUCUUGACGGUACCUAAUCAGAAAGCCACGGCUAACUACGUG